UGUCUGCAUAUCUGAGGUCCUUUGGUGCCCCAGUGGGGAGCUUUUUCUGAAGACUUGGCCAGCCUCUGGGGUGCAGGUUAUUGGGUUUUUAUGCCUGCUCUACUGGAAGUUCCUGGCAAUUCAAGGCUCAGAUCCAAAUGCAUGAUCUUGCUGAAGCUUCACCCUGAGGAUUGCUGCCUUAAAUUGUCUCUUCCUCUAGAAUAACCCAUGGCUUGAAACAAUGACAAAUAGUACCUGCCAGUCACUCAGCCUCCAGUUACUCAGUUGCCCAUGUUUCAACAGACUGUCAAAUGAACCUGUCUCAUCUUCUUCUAAUUCUGCAUAUUGGCAUCUCUUCUUGUCCUCACUGAAAUACAGAGAAGCCCUGUCUGCAGAACAUGGUUGACUGUGGGUGCUCCAAAUCUGAGCCAAAUGAGAAUAGAGAAAAAACUGAAUUUGGAUCUCAGUGUUGCCUGUCCCUGCACAUGAACUCCUUGUAUUUGAGACUAUGCAAGGAGUAGUACCUCAUUCUGGUCCAUACCUGGAUUGUGGCGUCUCUCAGAGAGUGUUACAAGUGUUUUGUGAUGGGCUGGCAUGCAAGGCCAUAUUUGUAAUGCCAGUGCUUUUCACUUGUGGCUGUGGAAUAAAUGGGGUUCAAAUUCCAA